ACCAUUUAGUUGCCAUUUUACACAAGGUCUGGUUUAGGAGAAAUACGCAUAUUUAGCAUGUCUUAGCUGAAAUGGGAAGAUAGAGAAUAAUAUUGAACUAGAUUAUUCUUUUAAAAAAUAAACAUUUGUUAGUGGAUUAUCGUGUACAAAAACUUUUAUUGGACUCCAAAUACUAUUUUGAGGAUUCAUUUUGAAUUAUGUUCUGUUCAUAAUUUAUAGGUGAUUCUGGGUACAUGAGCCGGCCUUGGCUUAUUACCCCCUUGCGUAGCCCGACUGAUGUGUCUGAGGAGCGCUACAAUAGGGCUCAUAAGAGAACCAGGGCAGUGGUUGAACAAAUGUUCGGGCUCCUGAAGAUGAGGUUCAGGUGCCUUGACAGGUCGGGAGGAGCCCUCCAGUUCAACCCAAAGAAGGUGGCUAAGAUCGUUAUAGCCUGUAGUGUCCUGCAUAAUAUUGCACAGCGGGCUGGGAUGCUGCAGGGCGUCCAGGUGCACCGAAACCUCCUCAGAGAUGAGGAGGAUAAUCCUGUUCUAGAGGGGCCAUUCCGGGACAAGGGGCUCAAUGUCAGAGCAGACAUCAUCAACCGCCACUUUAGACGUUAAAUAAUAGAAGUUAGACUGGAGUAUUGUCAAUAGAUGUGAACUCUAGGGAAAUGACAAGUAGAAAAUUGUGCAAACAUGUUAUGAUUGUUCAUCAAAUGCUAUAAAUGUGUUUCAUUUAUUAAUAUAGGUGAUGCUCUGGUCAUUGGGUCCUGUAGCGAGUCUUUGACACCUGGUUUUUAAAGAGGACAUCAGCUGGGAGAUGACUUCAUGUAAAGACUGAAAGGGAAGAAUUCGAAGAAUGACAGUGAAGAAUUCCCAGACUGACAGUGGAAAAAGACAAGAUUGAAAUUGAAGAAUACCAAUGGGAUCAUGUCUGGCAUUAUCUUUCAAAUCUGCUGACCUUGAAAACCAUACAAAGACAUGUUCACAUGAUGGUAUUUCACAGUCCUCUAUUUUUGAACUGAUGAAUAAGACACAUAUUGAAGAUCAACUGUUUACCCCUGAAUUGACUUUCAAAGACCAUGCAUUAUCCAGAUGGUAUUUCACAGUCCUCUAUUUUUGAACUGAUGAAUAAGACACCUAUUGAAGAUCAACUGUUUACCCCUGAAUUGACUUUCAAAG